rnacentral:rRNA from 1 species
UACGGAGGGAGCUAGCGUUGUUCGGAUAUACUGGGCGUAAAGCGCACGUAGGCGGCGAUCUAAGUCAGAGGUGAAAGCCCGGGGCUCAACCCCGGAAUAGCCUUUGAGACUGGAUUGCUAGAAUCUUGGAGAGGCGGGUGGAAUUCCGAGUGUAGAGGUGAAAUUCGUAGAUAUUCGGAAGAACACCAGUGGCGAAGGCGGCCCGCUGGACAAGUAUUGACGCUGAGGUGCGAAAGCGUGGGGAGCAAACAGG